rnacentral:rRNA from 1 species
GACGAACGCUGGCGGCGUGCCUAAUACAUGCAAGUAGAACGCACAGUUUAUACCGUAGCUUGCUACACCAUAGACUGUGAGUUGCGAACGGGUGAGUAACGCGUAGGUAACCUGCCUGGUAGCGGGGGAUAACUAUUGGAAACGAUAGCUAAUACCGCAUAAUAUUAAUUAUUGCAUGAUAAUUAAUUGAAAGGUGCAAUUGCACCACUACCAGAUGGACCUGCGUUGUAUUAGCUAGUAGGUGAGGUAACGGCUCACCUAGGCGACGAUACAUAGCCGACCUGAGAGGGUGAUCGGCCACACUGGGACUGAGACACGGCCCAGACUCCUACGGGAGGCAGCAGUAGGGAAUCUUCGGCAAUGGACGAAAGUCUGACCGAGCAACGCCACGUGAGUGAAGAAGGUUUUCGGAUCGUAAAGCUCUGUUGUAAGAGAAGAACGGGUGUGAGAGUGGAAAGUUCACACUGUGACGGUAUCUUACCAGAAAGGGACGGCUAACUACGUG